UACGGAGGGUGCGAGCGUUGUCCGGAAUCAUUGGGCGUAAAGGGCGCGUAGGUGGCUUCUUAAGCGUGCGGUGAAAGCCUGGGCUCAACCCGGUCGGCCGUGCGAACUGGGGGGCUGGAGCACUGUAGAGGCAGGCGGAAUUCCGGGUGUAGCGGUGGAAUGCGUAGAGAUCCGGAAGAACACCGGUGGCGAAGGCGGCCUGCUGGGCAGUUGCUGACACUGAGGCGCGACAGCGUGGGGAGCAACAGG
rnacentral:rRNA from 1 species